rnacentral:rRNA from 1 species
UACGUAGGGGGGCAAGCGUUGUCCGGAUUUAUUGGGCGUAAAGAGCGUGUAGGCGGCUUCACAGGUCUGCUGUGAAAACUCGAGGCUCAACCUCGAGCUGUCGGUGGAAACCGUGGGGCUAGAGUCCGGAAGAGGUGAGUGGAAUUCCUGGUGUAGCGGUGAAAUGCGCAGAUAUCAGGAGGAACACCAAUGGCGAAGGCAGCUCACUGGGACGGUAUUGACGCUGAGACGCGAAAGCGUGGGGAGCAAACAGG